rnacentral:rRNA from 1 species
AGAGUUUGAUCAUGGCUCAGAACGAACGCUGGCGGCGCGCUUAAUACAUGCAAGUCGAACGAGAACGUCUGGCUUCGGCUGGAUUAGUAAAGUGGCGAACGGGUGAGUAACACGUGAGGAACAUGCCCUUAUGUCGGGGAUAAGCCUGCGAAAGCGGGUCUAAUACCGGAUGUGGUCAAGAGCUGGCAUCUUUUCUUGACUAAAGGUGGUUGAGUCUAUGCUACCGCAUAAGGAUUGCCUCGCGCUCCAUUAGCUUGAUGGCGGGGUAACGGCCCACCAUGGCGACGAUGGAUAGCCGGCCUGAGAGGGUGACCGGCCACACUGGGACUGAGAUACGGCCCAGACUCCUACGGGAGGCAGCAGUAGGGAAUCUUGCGCAAUGGGCGAAAGCCUGACGCAGCGACGCCGCGUGGAUGACGAAGCUCUUUGGAGUGUAAAAUCCUUUCAGCGGGGACGAACACCGACAGCAGGAAAUGGCUGUCGCCUGACGGUACCCGCAGAAGAAGUCCCGGCUAACUCCGUGCCAGCAGCCGCGGUAACACGGGGGGGACAAGCGUUGUUCGGAUUCACUGGGCGUAAAGAGCACGUAGGCGGAAGGGCAAGUCAGAUGUGAAAACCCGGGGCUUAACCGCGGGCCUGCAUUUGAUACUGCUUUUCUUGAGUACCGGAGAGGAUGGCAGAAUUCCUGGUGUAGCGGUGAAAUGCGUAGAUAUCAGGAAGAAUACCGGUGGCGAAGGCGACCAUCUGGACGGAUACUGACGCUGAGGUGCGAAGGCCGGGGGAGCAAACAGGAUUAGAUACCCUAGUAGUCC